UACGGGGGGGGCAAGCGUUGUUCGGAAUUACUGGGCGUAAAGGGUCUGUAGGUGGCUUGCUAAGUCAGACGUGAAAUCCCUCGGCUUAACCGGGGAACUGCGUCUGAUACUGGCGAGCUUGAGUGCAGGAGAGGAACGCGGAAUUCCAGGUGUAGCGGUGAAAUGCGUAGAUAUCAGGAGGAAUACCGAUGGCGAAGGCAGGUCUCUGGGCUGACACUGACGCUCAUGCACGAAAGCGUGGGGAGCAAACAGG
rnacentral:rRNA from 1 species